rnacentral:tRNA from 1 species
GUCAAGAUGACCGAGUGGUCUAAGGCACCAGACUCAAGGUCCUCGUUUGAGGGAGUGGAUUCAAAUCCCACUUCUGACA